rnacentral:rRNA from 1 species
UACGUAGGGGGCUAGCGUUGUCCGGAAUCAUUGGGCGUAAAGAGCGUGUAGGCGGCCCGGUAAGUCCGCUGUAAAAGUCAAAGGCUCAACCUUUGAACGUCAGUGGAUACUGCCGGGCUAGAGUCCGGAAGAGGCGAGUGGAACUCCUGGUGUAGCGGUGGAAUGCGCAGAUAUCAGGAAGAACACCAACGGCGAAGGCAGCUCGCUAGGACGGUACUGACGCUGAGACGCGAAAGCGUGGGGAGCAAACAGG